AUCAUGAGGAAGGGGAUGAGUUCUUUCUGUCCUUCAGAACAAGUCUCCAACUGGGCCUCAAUUAAUGCUGUAGAUAAAACACCAGAAAAACCUGUUUCUAACAUUGAAAAAGUUAACAAGGCUGAAAUUCUCAUGCAGUUAAUGUGGAGCAUGAGUCAGCGUUUGAGUCAGAGUCUUGGUGGAGAAAGCGCUGGGACAGGGCUGGUUGGGUAGGCCUCGCAGGUCGAGAGGGGCUGCUGAAGGGCUCAGGGGGUGGGACAGGGCUGGUUGGGUAGGCCUCGCAGGUCGAGAGGGGCUGCUGAAGGGCUCAGGGGGUGGGACAGGGCUGGUUGGGUAGGCCUCGCAGGUCGAGAGGGGCUGCUGAAGGGCUCAGGGGGUGGGACAGGGCUGGUUGGGUAGGCCUCGCAGGUCGAGAGGGGCUGCUGAAGGGCUCAGGGGGUGGGACAGGGCUGGUUGGGUAGGCCUCGCAGGUCGAGAGGGGCUGCUGAAGGGCUCAGGCGGUGGGACAGGGCUGGUUGGGUAGGCCUCGCAGGUCGAGAGGGGCUGCUGAAGGGCUCAGGGGGUGGGACAGGGCUGGUUGGGUAGGCCUCGCAGGUCGAGAGGGGCUGCUGAAGGGCUCAGGCGCUGGGACAGGGCUGGUUGGGUAGGCCUCGCAGGUCGAGAGGGGCUGUUGAAGGGCUCAGGAGGUGGGACAGGGCAGGUAUGGUAGGCCUUGCAGGUCCAGAAUGGCUGAACGAGGCCCUCGAGGACAAGCCUGAGGCGGGGAAGGCGGGGCUGCAGUGCGGCAAACAGGGCUACACAACAACCCCUUGUAUUAUUGAGAAUGGCAAUCUGCUGGUCAUUAUUU